rnacentral:rRNA from 1 species
UUUUAUGAGAGUUUGAUCCUGGCUCAGGACGAACGCUGGCGGCGUGCCUAAUACAUGCAAGUCGAACGCUUCUUUUUCCACCGGAGCUUGCUCCACCGGAAAAAGAGGAGUGGCGAACGGGUGAGUAACACGUGGGUAACCUGCCCAUCAGAAGGGGAUAACACUUGGAAACAGGUGCUAAUACCGUAUAACAAUCGAAACCGCAUGGUUUUGAUUUGAAAGGCGCUUUCGGGUGUCGCUGAUGGAUGGACCCGCGGUGCAUUAGCUAGUUGGUGAGGUAACGGCUCACCAAGGCGACGAUGCAUAGCCGACCUGAGAGGGUGAUCGGCCACAUUGGGACUGAGACACGGCCCAAACUCCUACGGGAGGCAGCAGUAGGGAAUCUUCGGCAAUGGACGAAAGUCUGACCGAGCAACGCCGCGUGAGUGAAGAAGGUUUUCGGAUCGUAAAACUCUGUUGUUAGAGAAGAACAAGGAUGAGAGUAACUGUUCAUCCCUUGACGGUAUCUAACCAGAAAGCCACGGCUAACUACGUGCCAGCAGCCGCGGUAAUACGUAGGUGGCAAGCGUUGUCCGGAUUUAUUGGGCGUAAAGCGAGCGCAGGCGGUUUCUUAAGUCUGAUGUGAAAGCCCCCGGCUCAACCGGGGAGGGUCAUUGGAAACUGGGAGACUUGAGUGCAGAAGAGGAGAGUGGAAUUCCAUGUGUAGCGGUGAAAUGCGUAGAUAUAUGGAGGAACACCAGUGGCGAAGGCGGCUCUCUGGUCUGUAACUGACGCUGAGGCUCGAAAGCGUGGGGAGCAAACAGGAUUAGAUACCCUGGUAGUCCACGCCGUAAACGAUGAGUGCUAAGUGUUGGAGGGUUUCCGCCCUUCAGUGCUGCAGCUAACGCAUUAAGCACUCCGCCUGGGGAGUACGACCGCAAGGUUGAAACUCAAAGGAAUUGACGGGGGCCCGCACAAGCGGUGGAGCAUGUGGUUUAAUUCGAAGCAACGCGAAGAACCUUACCAGGUCUUGACAUCCUUUGACCACUCUAGAGAUAGAGCUUCCCCUUCGGGGGCAAAGUGACAGGUGGUGCAUGGUUGUCGUCAGCUCGUGUCGUGAGAUGUUGGGUUAAGUCCCGCAACGAGCGCAACCCUUAUUGUUAGUUGCCAUCAUUUAGUUGGGCACUCUAGCAAGACUGCCGGUGACAAACCGGAGGAAGGUGGGGAUGACGUCAAAUCAUCAUGCCCCUUAUGACCUGGGCUACACACGUGCUACAAUGGGAAGUACAACGAGUCGCAAAGUCGCGAGGCUAAGCUAAUCUCUUAAAGCUUCUCUCAGUUCGGAUUGUAGGCUGCAACUCGCCUACAUGAAGCCGGAAUCGCUAGUAAUCGCGGAUCAGCACGCCGCGGUGAAUACGUUCCCGGGCCUUGUACACACCGCCCGUCACACCACGAGAGUUUGUAACACCCGAAGUCGGUGAGGUAACCUUUUUGGAGCCAGCCGCCUAAGGUGGGAUAGAUGAUUGGGGUGAAGUCGUAACAAGGUAGCCGUAUCGGAAGGUGCGGCUGGAUCACCUCCUUUCUAAGGAA